rnacentral:lncRNA from 1 species
CUUAUCUCCAUUUUAUAAACGAUAAGCUAAGACCAAGAAGUGAGGCACUUUUUCCAGUGUUCGUGUGGCAUUCACAUCCCAGCCCCCAAAUCUCAUUGCUUUUUCCAUGAUUCAGCUCUCUCUCCACAUUUACCCACCUAUCAGAUUAGGAUGGAGGUGAAUCUACCCGUGUUACUCCCAAUUCCGCCUGCAGUACCUGACAUAGUGUCUGGGAUAUAACAAAACCUCACUACUUACAUGUUAUUGGUAUUGAUAUUCUUCUUAGGCAUUCUCAUCGCCUGUUUUUCAUUGCUUCACUGAACCAAUAAGACAAUUAUUCUGCAGGGAAUACUCAGAAGUUUCCUUUGAAAAAAAUUUCUGUGAGAGAUAAAGCACUACCAAGAUCCAUAACCUAUAAUAUUCCCCUCAUUUAUCUAUGGAUUUUUUAAUGCUUUCUACAGGUGGGUCAGAAUCAUGGAUGAAAUAUCAGCAAGCAAAGGAUGUGCCCUCAAAGAAAACAAACAAGGGUGAGCAUUUGCUGCAACACAGGGUGAAUUUUUACUUCUAUUGCCUUGAGGACAUUCAUUGGAAACAUCAUGUUGCACUUGAUGGAGACUCUCCUGAUGAAAAGGCAUCUUUAUGGUAAGAUAAUCUGGCAUAUAAGUAAAUCCCACCGGCUCACAACUUUGUAAGGUGCUGAAGAGGAUGAAGCUCCUUAUCCCUGAAAGACCAGUGUGUUUUUUUACGGAAUAUCUAAAGGUGUGGACCUGGGGAAAAUUUAAAAGGGCUGUGGGGGGAAGAUGGGACUGAGUGGGCCCUGGGGUCUAGAGAGAGAAAGUUAUAUAGGACACUCGUUUCAACAGCUAAGUCUGGAAGAGCUUCUGCAUAAUCUAAGGGAGCAAGUAAUUUAGAUUGAACUUCCACAUAAUCUCCACACUGUACUUUUCUGAGAUUUCCCUAACCAUCCAAUGGAGGUUCUUCUGUAACUGGUCUGAGGAGGACAGAGGUCCAGGGAGGUCUGGAGAAGAGACAGACCUUGCCUGUCUCUAAUUUUCUC